UACAGAGGGGGCAAGCGUUAUUCGGAAUUAUUGGGCGUAAAGGGCGCGUAGGCGGCUUUGCAAGUGACGGGUGAAAUCCCUCGGCUUAACCGAGGAACUGCCUGUCAAACUGCAUGGCUUGAGACCGGGAGAGGUGAGUGGAAUUCCCAGUGUAGCGGUGAAAUGCGUAGAUAUUGGGAGGAACACCAGUGGCGAAGGCGGCUCACUGGACUGGUACUGACGCUGAGGUGCGAAAGCGUGGGGAGCAAACAGG
rnacentral:rRNA from 1 species